AACAAACACUAAUAAACAAAUCAACUAAGUAGUU
rnacentral:rRNA from 1 species